rnacentral:rRNA from 1 species
GGACUGGGGUGGACGGACCUCUGGUGUGCGGGUUGUUCCGCCAGGAGCAAAAAGCCCGGUAGCUAUGUCCGGAAGGGAUAAGCGCUGAAAGCAUCUAAGCGCGAAACCCCCCUCAAGAUGAGGUCUCCCAUCCGCAAGGAGUAAGGUCGCGGGAAGACUACCCGCUUGAUAGGCGGCAUGUGUAAGUCCGGUAACGGAUUCAGCUGAGCCGUACUAAUGACCGAGGGCUUGACCACCA